CUCCUUGUCUGUUUUCUUGGUGGAAAUGAAAUUCACCAUAGAAUCAUAAAAUCAUAGAAUGGCUUGGGUUGGAAAGGACCUUAAAGCCCACCCAAUUCUAGUCCCCUGUGCUGUGAGCUGACUGCCACCCACCAGGUCAGGCUGCCCAGGGCCCUGUCCAAUCUGGCCUUGAACAUCUCCAGGAAUGAGGCAUCCAUAGUUUCUCUGGGCAGCCUGUGCCAGUGCCUCACCACGCUCUGAGUAAAGAAUUUCUUCCUAACAUCUCCCCUAAAUCUUCCCUCUUUUAGUUUAAAGCCAUUCCCCCUUGUUCUAUCACUAUCUGCCCAUGAGAAAAGACAGUCUCCUUCCUGCUUAUAACCUCCCUUCAGUACUGGAAAGCCUCAGUGAAGUUUCCCCAGAGCCUUCUCUUUUCCACACUAAACAAGCCCAGCUCCCUCAACCUUUCUUCACAGGAGAGGUGCUCCUGCCCUUUGAUCAUCAUAUCUGCUUCUUUUUAUGAGGAAUUUCAUUUUCAGUUCUUCCCUUUGUAAUAUACUUGCGCAAAGAUAAGUACAUCCAUCAUCAUCAUACAAUGAUCACAGAGACGGGACACAUUCAACAACAAUUUUUACAGGCAGAUCUGGUUCCAAACCACACAGCAGAGUGCUAAGGGAAACACAGCUGACGCUGGUGAGUGCUGCCCGCAGCCUACCUGGAAGCAUGGAAGCCUGGGCCCUGCAGUCUGUUCUAUGUCAUGUGGCUCUGUCAUUGAGAGCAUGGCACUGUGCAACCAACAACACUGUUUGUGCUUUGUGUUCUUCCUGGGCUUCCAUUUUGUACUUCUGGCCUGCAAACACCGGGUAGGAGUAACAGUGUUUGAGGACACACAUGAAUGCCGUAUUUCAGCCUACACAAGGCCGCAGCACAGGCAUUACGUUCUGCCCGGGCUGCUCUGGGCCUGGCAGCUCAGCGCAACGGCAGAGACCUGGCCAGCUGGGAGCAGGCAGGUGGCCACAGCAGCAGAUGUGGGAAGAAGAAGCAGCCAAAAGACAAGACGUGUAUUAAUGUUGCUGCUGAAAUGGACCUCUCAGCUGAACUCCAAAAGAGUCACUGAAGCAGCAGACACUUGCCACUGCCGUACAAAGCCUAAGGGAGUGAAUAAGAUACCAGUUGGAUUCAACAUGUCAAUUCUAUAACAAAACACAGAAAUAAUAAAG
rnacentral:lncRNA from 1 species